UACGUAGGUGGCAAGCGUUGUCCGGAUUUACUGGGCGUAAAGGGCGUGCAGGCGGUUUGUUAAGUGCAGGGUGAAAGCUCCCGGCUCAACUGGGGAGGGUCAUUCGAUACUGAUCGACUUGAAGGCAGGAGAGGGAAGCGGAAUUCCCGGUGUAGUGGUGAAAUGCGUAGAUAUCGGGAGGAACACCAGUGGCGAAGGCGGCUUCCUGGCCUGUUCUUGACGCUGAGGGCGCGAAAAGCCAGGGGGAGCAAACGGG
rnacentral:rRNA from 1 species